UACGAAGGGGGCUAGCGUUGUCCGGAAUUAUUGGGCGUAAAGGGCUCGUAGGCGGUCUGUUGCGUCGGGAGUGAAAACUUACAGCUUAACUGUGAGCGUGCUUCCGAUACGGGCAGACUUGAGGUAUUCAGGGGAGAACGGAAUUCCUGGUGUAGCGGUGAAAUGCGCAGAUAUCAGGAGGAACACCGGUGGCGAAGGCGGUUCUCUGGGAAUAUCCUGACGCUGAGGAGCGAAAGUGUGGGGAGCGAACAGG
rnacentral:rRNA from 1 species